UAAUACAGGGGGAGCAAGCGUUAUCCGGAAUGAUUGGGCGUAAAGCGUCUGUAGGUGGUCCGACAAGUCUAAUGUUAAAUACGAUUGGCUUAACCAACGAGAGGCGUUAGAGUACUGUUGGACUAGAGUGCGGGAGAGGUAGAGGGAAUCCCUAGCGUAACAGUGAAAUGUGUAGAUUUUAGGGAGAACACCAGCGGCGAAGGCGCUCUACUGGACCGAGACUGACACUGAGAGACGAAAGCUAGGGGAGCGAAUAGGAUUAGAUACCCUAUUUAUUCUAGCUGUAAACGAUGGAAACUAAGUGGGGCAGAUUGUUGCCCUGCUGUAGCUAACGCGUUAAGUUUCCCGCCUGGGGAGUAUGCUCGCAAGAGUGAAACUCAAAGGAAUUGACGGGAAAAAGCACAAGCGGGUGGAUUAUGUGGGUUUAAUUCGAUGCAACGCGAAGAACCUUACCAGGGUUUUGACAUGUCCAGAAUCUUUCAGAAAUGGAAGAGUGCUGUGUGCCUCGGUACACAGAACUGGAGCACAGGUGGUGCAUGGCUGUCGUCAGCUCGUGCGUUGACGUGUACGGUUAAGUCCUGCAACGAGCGCAACCCUCGUCUUUAGUUGUUUACGUUUCUUUGAACGUUCUUUAAAGAGACUGCGCGCGCAAGCGCUGAGGAAGGUGAGGAUGACGUCAAGUCAGCAUGCCCCUUACACCCUGGGCGACACACGUAAUACAAUGGUUGGGACAAUAAGAAGCUAACCUGCGAAGGCACGCCAAUCUUUUAAACCCAACCUCAGUUCAGAUUGUAGGCUGCAACUCGCCUACAUGAAGUAGGAAUCGCUAGUAAUCGCCAGUCAGCCAUAUGGCGGUGAAUACGUUCUCUUUUUUUGUACACACCGCCCGUCACACUGCGGGAGGAGAGAAUAGUCAAAGUUGUUAGUCCAACUUAAUUGAGGGCGGCACCUAAACUAUGCUUUCUGACUAUAGUGAAAUCGUAACAAGGUAGAGCUCUCAGUCAGUCAAAUCGAAUUCCCGCGGCC
rnacentral:rRNA from 1 species